GAUGAACGCUGGCGGCGUGCCUAAUACAUGCCAGUCGAGCGAACAGACGAGGAGCUUGCUCCUCUGACGUUAGCGGCGGACGGGUGAGUAACACGUGGAUAACCUACCUAUAAGACUGGGAUAACUUCGGGAAACCGGAGCUAAUACCGGAUAAUAUAUUGAACCGCAUGGUUCAAUAGUGAAAGACGGUUUUGCUGUCACUUAUAGAUGGAUCCGCGCCGCAUUAGCUAGUUGGUAAGGUAACGGCUUACCAAGGCAACGAUGCGUAGCCGACCUGAGAGGGUGAUCGGCCACACUGGAACUGAGACACGGUCCAGACUCCUACGGGAGGCAGCAGUAGGGAAUCUUCCGCAAUGGGCGAAAGCCUGACGGAGCAACGCCGCGUGAGUGAUGAAGGUCUUCGGAUCGUAAAACUCUGUUAUUAGGGAAGAACAAAUGUGUAAGUAACUAUGCACGUCUUGACGGGACCUAAUCAGAAAGCCACGGCUAACUACGU
rnacentral:rRNA from 1 species